rnacentral:rRNA from 1 species
GACGAACGCUGGCGGCGUACCUAAUACAUGCAAGUCGAGCGGACUUUCAAGAAGCUUGCUUUUUGAAAGUUAGCGGCGGACGGGUGAGUAACACGUGGGCAACCUGCCUGUAAGACGGGGAUAACUCCGGGAAACCGGGGCUAAUACCGGAUAAUAUCUUUCUUCGCAUGAAGGAAGGUUGAAAGGCGGCGCAAGCUGCCGCUUGCAGAUGGGCCCGCGGCGCAUUAGCUAGUUGGUGAGGUAACGGCUCACCAAGGCGACGAUGCGUAGCCGACCGGGGAGGGUGAUCGGCCACACUGGGACUGAGACACGGCCCAGACUCCUACGGGAGGCAGCAGUAGGGAAUCUUCCGCAAUGGACGAAAGUCUGACGGAGCAACGCCGCGUGAGCGAAGAAGGUCUUCGGAUCGUAAAGCUCUGUUGUCAGGGAAGAACAAGUACCGUUCGAAUAGGGCGGUACCUUGACGGUACCUGACCAGAAAGCCACGGCUAACUACGUGCCAGCAGCCGCAGUAA